GCCGGGCAUGGUGGCACAUGCCUGUAAUCCCAGCUAUUUGGGAGGCUGAGGCAGGAGAAUCGCUUGAACCCGGGAGGCAGAGGUUGCAGUGAGCCGAUAUCACGCCACUGCAUUCUCUAGCCUGGGUGACAGAGGGAGAUGCUGUCUCAA
ensembl:misc_RNA Metazoa_SRP Metazoan signal recognition particle RNA